AAGUGACUAAAUUUCUAUUUAAUUUAUGUUUAAAAAAUACCUUAACCAAGAGUGCGUUGAAUUUCAAUCAUUCAAUCUGACAGUUCGCGUCAAUAUGGUUCACACUCUUUAAGAAAAUCAAACGAAAACCUCGGUAAUACGGUGAUAAACGUUGUGUGUGAUUUGAAAAAGGCAAAAGGAUGACGUAAUUGGUAUUUGUGCAAAGAUCGGUGUUGGUUUUUUGUAAAGUGCGAGUUGGAGCGAAAGCGCCAAAAGUGUAAAAAGUUAUAACGACGAACGGUCAUAGGAACGAAUGGUCAUUGGUCCGAAUGCUCGCAGUGUGGGCCGCCGAACUGCCGUUGUCUCUGUAAAAUACCGCUUCGAAAGAUUUUUAUGCACAUUGAUGAUUCGUGAACUUUGAUUUGAGGUAUAAUAAUAUCCCUAUCUAACAUUGCCUGCUUAAAAUGGAAGAUUUAAGACUCAAGUCCAUACAAAGGAAGUUUGACGAAAAAAUCUGUAUUAGGAUUGAGGUGACGGAAAUAAUGCAUGAAAAGUACGGUGAAAACUAUGCAAAACCAGUGUCGAACAUUUGCGGGUCAGGUAUUGUACUUGGGGGCGAAGUAAAUGAAAGMAAUGUGUAAUUUGAGUUGAGAACUGUCAGUCUGACGUUUUUUUCUGUCAUCGAAAUUUGUCGUCUACUAAAAAGCAACAAAAGGACCGAAAGAACCGGUUAGAAUUGGUCGUGAUUUGUUUAAAAGUGAUCAAGUUGAAUGUGUUGUGUCUAUUUUUUCCAUUUUGGUGAGUGCCGGUGAAAUGUUUAAUAAAUUGUAUGGGUCCAAGUGCGGCCAGGACGGGGUAGCAGUGGUCUGAGACGGCGAUAUAAUUUUCGAUAAAAUGCACACUAUCCGAUCUAAAAUAUGUAUGUGGUGGUUUGUGAAAUAUUGUUCAAGACUCAAAGGCCCCCAUAUAAACAAAAUUUUGCCAAAAAAUGUGUAAUUUGAGGUAACCUGUCACGUGAGAAAAUUUUCUUUGAAAAAAUCAAGUGGCGUUUGUUUUUGACAUUUCUGGGCGUCAGUCACGAUGGGGACUAGCAGCGGCCUGAAACGGCACCGGCGAUACAAUUUUCGAUAAAAUGCACAUUAUCCGAUCUAAAUUAGGUAGGUGGUGGUUUGUGAAAUACUGUUCAAGACUCAAAAGCCUCCAUAUAAACGAAAUUUUGCCAAUUUGAAGAAAUUUGAAGUUACCUGUCAGGUGAGAAACGAGAGCCGCGGAUUUUGGGCCAACGAAAGGGACCUACCUAAAAUAGAAAUAAUACUUAUCUGAUAACAUAAAAGAGCAAGAUGAAUGUCUAAUUUGAGGUUAUGAGUUAUGACGCAUAGACACAGAUUACUUGCAGAUUGGACACUCUUCCAAACCACAGAUUAUCUAUUUUACAACAGAUACGUCACUCUUCUGAAUUAAAAUAAAUUCGGCGUCGCCGUGAUCUCGGUGGUCGACUGUGAUUGGCUAACCCAAACUUAUGCCGUAUUUAUGAAAGAUUUGGAUUAGCUUAUUUGGUGCGAUUGUUGGUACUAAUGCAUAUGUUGCCAACCGAAUCCCCUAAACUUUUACUUCGUGCUUAGUAUAAUAGUAAAAUGUGUAACACAACCUUAAAAUUGUUUAUUAUAAGAUUAUAAAAUGUGUUCAUAAGUGUUUAAUUACACUAUUAAAAAAUAAAUUAAACGAAA